rnacentral:lncRNA from 1 species
UUUAAAAAGUAGCCUUUGUCAGGCCUCUGAGCCCAAGCCAAGCCAUCGCAUCCCCUGUGACCUGCACGUAUACGCCCAGAUGACCUGAAGUAACUGAAGAAUCACAAAAGAAGUGAAUAGGCCCUGCCCCACCUUAACUGAUGACAUUCCACCACAAAAGGAGUGUAAAUGGCCGGUCCUUGCCUUAACUGAUGACAUUACCUUGUGAAAGUCCUUUUCCUGGCUCAUCCUGGCUCAAAAAGCACCCCCACUGAGCACCUUGCAACCCCCACUCCUGCCCGCCAGAGAACAAACCCCCUUUGACUGUAAUUUUCCUUUACCUACCCAAAUCCUAUAAGACUGCCCCACCCUUAUCUCCCGUCACUGACUCUUUUCAGACUCAGCCCACCUGCACCCAGGUGAAAUAAACAGCCAUGUUGCUCACACAAAGCCUGUUUGGUGGUCUCU